AGUAAGCAUGCUGCCCCUUCUUCAAGCAAAUCCAUGCGAUUUCCUCUUCGACCUGGCAAGGGUUUCCAUCUCUCCUGAAGGUACAUCGAGGGGUGUUAACAGGGCUUUUAUGGAGCAGCUAGUGAAAUUAUAUAGAGAGUCCCAUCUUGGAAGACGCCUUCCUGCUUACGAUGGAAGGAAGAGUCUUUAUUCUGCUGGACCAUUACCUUUUUCUGAUAAGGAUUUCUCAAUUACCUUGAUUCCUUGAUUGACGAGGAUGAUGGCACUGGAGCUGCUAGGAGAGAGAGGGUGUUCAAUGUUUCUACCAAAUAUGCUGCUCGAGUGGAUCUCCACCACUUGGGAUGUUUUUGCAGGGAAAACAGGCAGAUGCACCUUAGGAAGCUCUUCAGGUUCUCAACAUUGUUCUGCGUGAGCUUCCGACUUCUAGGUAUAUGUCUUUGUUAGUUAUUGGCUUGAUUUAAGAAACAUCCUGUUUUAGGAAAGAUCAAAAUGAUUUCCUAAUCAGUUUUGCACCUCCUCAAGUAUUUUAGGAAUCUGUUUUCUAAGUUACAUUAGGAAAUAGUUCUCUAUUUAGGACUUCUAUUUCUAGGCAAUUCUAGAUUAUUCCUAGGCCUAUAAAUAAGAGUG